rnacentral:rRNA from 1 species
AACGAACGCUGGCGGCAGGCUUAACACAUGCAAGUCGAACGCCCGUAGCAAUACGGGAGUGGCAGACGGGUGAGUAACGCGUGGGAAUCUCCCCAAAGGUACGGAACAACUCAGGGAAACUUGAGCUAAUACCGUAUGUGCCCGAGAGGGCAAAGAUUCAUCGCCUUUGGAUGAGCCCGCGUUGGAUUAGCUAGUUGGUGGGGUAACGGCCUACCAAGGCGACGAUCCAUAGCUGAUCUGAGAGGAUGAUCAGCCACACUGGGACUGAGACACGGCCCAGACUCCUACGGGAGGCAGCAGUGGGGAAUCUUGGACAAUGGGCGAAAGCCUGAUCCAGCCAUGCCGCGUGAGUGAAGAAGGCCUUAGGGUUGUAAAGCUCUUUUACCCGGGAAGAUAAUGACGGUACCGGGAGAAUAAGCCCCGGCAAACUUCGUGCCAGCAGCCGCGGUAAUACGAAGGGGGCUAGCGUUGUUCGGAUUUACUGGGCGUAAAGCGCACGUAGGCGGAUUGGUU